UGCGGGGCUGGGGGCUGGGGAUCCCCGGGCUGGGCUGAAGGACUGGGGAUCCAUGCCCCUGGGGACUGAGCGUGACAGCAGACAGACGUACAGCACGUCCUUGAGGAAAAUGAGGCAUUUCUGCAGCUAGAGUCCCUCAAGAGGUGCAGUGUGAGAGAGGAGUAUGGUGACAGCGGUGUCCUGCAGGCAGCUCCAGGAACGCGCUCACACAGUGGCAGCAGGCGGCCUGAGCCCUGCUCCAUCAGCCACAGGUUGCUGCUCUGGGGGCACAGAGACCCAGUCACAGCAUCACUGAGUUCAGAGAGUCCACCAAGGAGUUGCUGGCUGGCCCUGUGCCACAGGAAUGUGGUAUGAGGGUAUUUCAUGAGGACGCCGAUGUUGUCACGUCGUGACAUGGCAUGCUGACAUGUCAGAUAGUGCCUCUUCCUCUUUGGAAGCAGGAUCUGCACCUUUGACUGCCACAGCAGAGACUCAGGAGUGCUGGACUGGGAAGGAUUGCUGCAUCACGGUUCAAAGCUCAGUCACACCUUGUAGUCUCCUUCAGGAAACCCAGAGACUCUGCUUUGAACCUGGUUCAUUUUUUUUCGUCUCAUUGCUCAUAUCAGAAGACUGCUCUGCAAUGUUGCUGCUCUGAUGUUUGGAAAUGUUCUGAUUUUCACCCUAAGUUUACUCACGGCCAGAUUGUAUUCACUGCACUUGUGCCUAGGCUGUCUGCUAGCUCUUUUCCUUCUUGUAUUUAAGCCGAUGUUAUCUGCCUUUGCUUACCAAUUUGCCUGCUGGCUGGAAUUAUGCACAGAAGAGAAGUUUCCCAUGCCCUACGUGAGGUUGUUUUAACCUCUCUAAAGGAGCUAAAUAAUUAUUCUUCAUCUAAGGGUGACUGAAUGCAGGCUUUAUAGUAUGACAGCAUCAUUUAUUCACAAGGGGGUAUUUGCACCCUCAGUGUAAAGAAUGCUUUGAAACUGUUUAUUUAUUUAUUUAUUUUUAUUUUUAAAUGAAGAUCCAUUAACAGUGUUUAUAACAUUUCUCAUGCUCUGCUCUUGUUUUUGUAAGGCCCUGCGCAACAAGGAGGGAGCAGGUGAGCUCAAAGACUGCAAGGUGAAACUGCUUGGAAGGAACAGAAAUGAAUGACUGUUCAGAUUGCAGUGGAAUCCCUGCAUGCGUAGUGGUGCCAGGUACAGGAAUCUGAGAGGGUGAGGGAAGGGGAGGCAGGUUUUUUUAAGGCUGACAUUGUUUCAAUUUUAGCUAUUUUGGGUGUGAGCAAAACUUCAUCCAGCAAACAGUGCGGGCUUAGCAAAGCAUCAUUUUCAACUGUGGUGCGAAAAGCUGAGAUCAGUCUUCUGUAAGACUGAAAUCCCAGUUCUCCUCAAUUAAAUUAUCGUUUUAAGGGUGCUUAAAAAAGCAGUCUUCUUCCUUCCUGCCAUCCCUUCCACCCACUCGUGCUGUUCUGGGCAUGCUGUGCAGUACAAAUGCUUCUGCUGUCACCGUACAACAGGUUGGAGAGCUGAUCUAAGUGAGGAAUACUUUUUAAAUAUUCUUGUCCUCCUGCCCUCCUGCCCUCCUCCUCCUGAUCAGCUCUCUGCUGAGUUCGUGCCCCACACAUCUCUGUGUAGGCACAGGGCAGGGGCUUCUUAAGCACAUGGAUCACCUCCUUGGUGAGUGCUCAUCAGAUUGCUCUGCCAACACUGGCAGCACUUUGUUGGUUUAAAGCUGGACUUAGCAAUGGCUGUGCCACAGCUUUUGGACAAAGAAUGGAAAGAUGAAGCUGUAAAGGUACGUGAUGUUGCGCAGAGCAUGCGAGCUGCAGACAAAAGUAGGCUGAAAACUUGGGUGUCUGUGAGAAGAGCGACAAGAGGCGUUCAGAGGGACCAAAGGAAGGCACUGAGAGAGUGAGAAAGCUCUUCUUCUCAUGCAAGCUCCCUUAGCCCUGGUACUGACUGCCAGAGUGCUGUCGGGUGGCACUGGGAUGUCAGAAGGAUGGGCAGUAGCACUGGUGAUGAAAAUUAAUCAGGAAUUUUGGAAAGGCUGCAAGCCUUCUUUGUCCAGCAAGUAGCUGAGCUCAUGGUUAUGGGGGGUCAGGAGACCCACCUGUAAACGGUGUGAUUUCAGAGGGUUUGCCCGUGUUGGUGCUCAAACUGGUACGUGAGAAGCUCCCUCUGCUGAGAAACCAAAGCACAUUUCAGUGCCUUGAACAAACAGUGUGGAAGGACACAGGCUGCAGCAUGGCUUUGUGUGGCACCUGGGGGUUGGCAAGUGUUUGUCCUGAUGCUGAGGAAUUACAUCCUGUGACUGAAGAGAGGUGUUACAUUGCAGCUUUAGAGGUUUAAGGAAAAAAUACGGGAGGGUUGGGGUUGGGGUUGGGACCCCAGUGAUCACCUUUGGACGAAGGAGAUGUGGGGUGUGAGAUAAAGUCUGGAGUAUCUGUGGGAUGGGGCCCAGCAUUCAGAGCCUGUUUGCUGUGUUGGGAAGCAAGGUCAGCACAUUCUGCCAAAAAAACGUGCCGAGAGCUGUGGUGUAUUCACUAAACCCAGCUUUACAACCACUGGGCUUUAUAAAAAGAAUCACUUGUCAAAACAGAGCAGGGCUGGGAGAGGAAGGCAGCCCUGCAUUCAUUGUCACAGGGCCGGUGUCCUCAGCAGCCUCUGCAGUGUGGCUGUGGUGGAGGAGCUGGGUGCUGGAGCAGCUGGGGGCCAGCACUGGGCUUACAGGCUGGGGUAGGGCUGGCUGUGUAGGAGAGGCAGCAGCUGGGCAGUGCUGAUGAGCCUUCAUGGCCCAACACAGCCACUGUGCUGGGGCAGCAGGCAGAAAAGUGACUGUGCUAUCAGAGAGCCACAAAGGCUGGAGAAGAUCCCCAAGCCCAACCCAUCCCAACAUACCCACUGACCACAUCCCUCGGUGCCACAUCCCACAGCUCUGGAGCACCUCCAGGGAUGGAGAGUCCAGCUGUGAGUCCUGUGCAGCUGUGCCACUGCAUCACUGCUCUUUUGGAGAGGAAUGUUUUCCUGCUAUCCAACCUGAACUUUCAGGUGAUGGUGGUCCCCGUCUCCUUCCAUCAGUGAGAUCCAGGAGAUGCUGACUGUGCUGGGAAUCAGAAAGGAGCUGCAGUCCCUGAGAGGCCCCCCAUGCAAUAAAUAGUUUGGAGUUGUGAUGUAACACACACGUGUGGCCUGUGGCCUCCAGGAUGCCCAGGGUGAACUGCUGCAAAGGCAGCUGGGGAACACACACAACCCAUUUGGGGCUGAUGUGAUGCUGAGGGCUUGCUGAUGUUCCCAGAAGCAAAUACAGGAGGAUGUCUUAUUCUGCAGGCCAAAUUUUUCUCCUGUUUUCAGCUCCCAGCAAGUCUGCAUGUGUGUUUGGCCUCCUGGUACCAGAUGUACUCACAGCCCCUUUCCCUCCAAAUAAAGCUCAGACUUUUGCUGCCUUGGCCGUCGCCAUCCUGCUGUCACUCA